ACCAAUUCUGGGGGAUAAUUAGUUCCUCUUGGCAUAAUGGCUCAGACGCGAAACUGAGUGAGUGGUUAUAUCCUGAUAAAUGGACUUGUUUACUAGUGCCAUAUUAUCCUGGAAACGCCACGCACAUUU
rfam:Capsicum annuum cultivar Zunla-1 chromosome 7, whole genome shotgun sequence